AUGAACUGUGAGCUCCAAGACGACACCUUCAGAAAGGUCACGAACACCGGAGCGCCACCAUCACCUCAUCUGAGGAUCAGGGUUUGGAGCACGACUAGCAAUGAGAGCCAUGACGACGCCUUCAAGAAGGGGACAAACUUCGUUGCCGCAAGUCUACCCAAAGACAGAACAUGUUUUCACCCCGGCCAACACUCAUUGUCACCGGCAUAUGGUACAGACGCCAUAGGGGAGCUCAUCGCGAGAGGUGCCUAUGGUGCUCACCACGUCCCGAGACAGGGUCGCCACGCCACAGGACGUGGCCACUGUGGUGCUCCCCACGCCCAUGGCCAUGCGCACAUGGGGCUCGAUCCUCGGAUGGUGGUUGGCCCGAGCGCCCCGAUAAUGAACGGGGCCGCCGUUGUGCCUGGAUCGCCCCCCGGAUCUCCGCCUCCACCUCCUCCUCCACCACGGGCCGGCCCGGCACGGCACGGCACGACCUGUGCUAAUCGUGCCUGGCCCGGCACGGCCCGCCGUGGCACGUUUAAUAGCCGGGCCGUGCCGUGCCGGCCCACGGGCGCAGCUCGUUGGCCCAAGCACGGCCUGAUUACCGCCACAACUGCCCACUCCAGAUUCCGGCGAUUCCGGCGGCUAUCGCCGGCGCGGUGCACACCGCCGAGCUCGCCUCGCUCGGCUCCAUCCUCCCCUCCGGCAAGAUUCUCCCUUCCCGGCCUCUACGGCUCGCCAAUAACCCACACCCGUGCUAGGGUUUCGGCCUCUAGCAUCGUCCUCCUCGUCGGCGCAUCUCCGGCGACUCUUCUCCUUUGCCUACAGCGCCCCCACGCGCGCCCUCGCUUCCUGAUGGCCCACCUCCAGCAGGGCGGCGCGGAGGACCUCCUCCCGCAGGAUCCACGGACGCGGCGCACCUUGCGGACGCUGGUCCCGGACGAGGGCGGGCACGGUGGCCUUGUCCUACUCGACGACGGUGGGGGCGAACGCCGGUGCUCCUCCUCCUCGACCUCCAAGGGGGAGCACCGUGGCGUACAUGAUGUGCUCCUCGAUGCGGCUGUUCCCAACGAACUCUCUUCGCCGGAGGAGGCGGAGCAGCAAGUCCAGCACCCUCUUGCCCCCCUAUCCUGUAGCGCAUGGACGACCUCACCGUCGGCUGCAUUCUACCCUCCUAGCACGUUUAGAGCAAUAGCUCCAGAGUUGAAGAUGAUCUUUAGCCUGAUUUUUAAUCCUCACAUUGCCUCCUACAGCAUGGAAAAUCCCAUCUACGCAGUCAUCCAGUUUGCACACACGGCCAUGAGAUGUUGCACAUUUCUGAACUUGCUGAAUAAAUCAAAAGAUGUUACUCCUCUACCUGCUGAAUCUAAAUCGAAAGAUUCAAGAGAAUUAUGGUGCUACUUUUGGCAACGUGCCGCCGUGCUCAACCUCGCCCGGCCAUCGUAUGGCCUCUUGUGUUGUCUUCAGUCUUCAUUGAUCUCGAUCCGCCGCCGCCCACCAUCGACGACCCUCACCAUAGACGAGAUCGAGCUCCUCCCUUCCUCCCGUUCUCCCCUAGCCUUAUCCACUUCGAGCCAACCAACCACUCCGUCCUUGGGAUUUUGUCGCGCGGUGCCUCGUCUCGCCGGCCCGGCGACCACAAGCAGGCAGUCCACGGCCAGGAUGGCAGCGUGCCCCGCCACGACCACGGCUCGCGUGGGAGCAGCGCAUGAUGGAGGCCUCUGGAGGAGAAGCGGGAGGAGCCUGACCGUCCUCGCGCGCCCAGCCCAUGGCAGGAGCACCACGGCGCGCGCCUCGGAGCUACAACAUCUCCUUCGGCGACUUCGUGUAAUCCAGUUCGGCAACGCGUGCUGGGAACUUUACUGCCUCGAGCACAGCAUCCUGCAGGGAGCAUACGAUCAACAGGAGGAGGAUUUCCACGGCGCGUGCAAGCGGCUUCAGCUUCAUGCCUUGGAUCCAAUGCUGUCCCCUCCAAGUCAAGUCACGUCGAGGCGGCCGAUCAAGGCCUGCGUGCAAUUGAUGGGGCUCCAUGAAAAUGGAGGUGGUGAUCAGGUGAACAACAUAAGCCUGGAAGACCUCUGGCCCAGCUCAACUCCAUCUCCAUGCACCUCGGCGAGAUCGUCGGUAAUGGACGCCGCCUGCCUCGUAUCAUUCUUUCUAGAUAACAUUCUAGUGUGGCAACAUUUAGUAAUUUACAGCUCCCUGUUCAUGGUGCUAUGCAAACUCUGA
rnacentral:rRNA from 1 species